GGGCAGUUAGUUCAGUGGUAGAACGCCUCUCUCACACAGAGGAGGUCGCUGGUUCAAUCCCAGCACUGCCCACCA
rnacentral:tRNA from 1 species